rnacentral:rRNA from 1 species
AGGAUGAACGCUAGCGGUUUGCCUAACACAUGCAAGUUGCACGGCGCCAUACCUCUCGGGGUAUGGUGCAGUGGCGGACGGGUGAGUAACGCGUAAGGACCUGCCCCUGGGAGGGGGAUAACAGCUGGAAACGGCUGCUAAUACCCCAUAGCCUGAGGAGGGAAAGGAGAGAUCCGCCCAGGGAGGGGCUUGCGUCUGAUUAGCUAGUUGGGAGGGGUAAUGGCCUCCCAAGGCAACGAUCAGUUGCUGGUCUGAGAGGAUGAUCAGCCACACUGGGACUGAGACACGGCCCAGACUCCUACGGGAGGCAGCAGUGAGGAAUCUUCCGCAAUGGGCGAAAGCCUGACGGGGCAAUGCCGCGUGGAGGAUGAAGGCCCAAUGGGUCGUAAACUUCUUUAGAUCAGAGACGAAGAGAUGACGGUACCUGAAGAACUAAGCAUCGGCUAAACCCGCGCCAGCAGCCGC